UACAGCUCUGCUUCUUGCCCAAGACAGUAACAGAGCAGCCCAUUUGGAGCAUCUGGUUUCUUGGCAGAGAGAGAAACAAGAUCUUGUAAACCAUGAGCAGUCUUUCAAAACUUCUGUUUCAGGAGAACACACAUCAUUUCCAUCUAGUUUCUUUAGAAAAAGUUACACCCAGCAAGACUGCUUCUCCUGCCUCCCCUUCCACCUUCUCCACUUCUUCUGCCUUUUCCACCCCUGAGACAGCAAGACCAACCCUUCUCCUUCCUCUUCCUCAGCCUACUCAAUGUGAAGAUGAUGAGGAUGAAGA
rnacentral:lncRNA from 10 species